UACGGGGGGGGGCAAGCGUUGUUCGGAAUUACUGGGCGUAAAGGGCUCGUAGGUGGCCAACUAAGUCAGACGUGAAAUCCCUCGGCUUAACCGGGGAACUGCGUCUGAUACUGGAUGGCUUGAGUUUGGGAGAGGGAUGCGGAAUUCCAGGUGUAGCGGUGAAAUGCGUAGAUAUCUGGAGGAACACCGGUGGCGAAGGCGGCAUCCUGGACCAACACUGACGCUGAGUGAGCGAAAGCCAGGGGAGCAAACGGG
rnacentral:rRNA from 1 species